CACACCGCCCGUCACACCAUGGGAGUUGGCUUUACUUGAAGACGGUGCGCUAACCGCAAGGAAGCAGCCGGCCACGGUCGGGUCAGCGACUGAGGUG
rnacentral:rRNA from 1 species